rnacentral:rRNA from 1 species
GAAAGUAAGCAAGGGCAGACGGUGGAUGCCUUGGCUCUCGGAGGCGACGAAGGACGUGAUAAGCUGCGAAAAGCUCGGGGGAGGCGCAAAUAGCCCUUGAUCCCGGGAUAUCCGAAUGGGGCAACCCGGCAGGCUGAAGGCCUGCCAUCCCGUAAGGGAGGCGAACGUGGGGAACUGAAACAUCUAAGUACCCAUAGGAGGAGAAAAUAAACAAUGAUUCCGUAAGUAGUGGCGAGCGAACACGGAAGAGCCCAAACCCGUGCCGUCUAGGCGACACGGGGGUUGUAGGACCACGACGUGGCAAGAUAGAGUCAAGUGGAACGCCUUGGAAAAGGCGACCGUAGAGGGUGAUAGUCCCGUACACGACUGACGAUUGAAGCCUAGUGGCAUCCUGAGUAGCGCGGGGCACGAGAAAUCUUGCGUGAAACAGCGGGGCCCAUCCCGUAAGGCUAAAUACUCCCGAGAGACCGAUAGCGAACCAGUACCGUGAGGGAAAGGUGAAAAGAACCCCGAGCAGGGGAGUGAAAUAGACCCUGAACCCGUCUGCCUACAAGCGGUCGGAGCAUCGUCAAGAUGUGACGGCGUGCCUUUUGCAUAAUGAACCUACGAGUUACCUUCCCCGGCAAGGUUAAGUACCUAAGGUACGGAGCCGAAGCGAAAGCGAGUCUGAAGAGGGCGGCCAGUCGGGGGGGGUAGACGCGAAACCGAGUGAUCUACCCUUGGCCAGGUUGAAGGUUGGGUAACACCAACUGGAGGACCGGAUGGGUAAGCGUUGAAAAGCUUUCCAAUGAGCUGAGGGUAGGGGUGAAAGGCUAAUCAAACUCGGAGAUAGCUCGUACUCCCCGAAAUGCAUUUAGGUGCAGCCUCUUUAUAGUAUAUCGUGAGGUAGAGCGACUGAUUGGAUGCGAGGGCUUCACCGCCUAUCAAGUCCAGAUAAACUCCGAAUGCGCGAUAUAUAUUUACAGGGAGUGAGGGCGCGGGUGCUAAGGUCCGUGUCCGAGAGGAGAAGAAUCCAGACCACCGGCUAAGGCCCCCAAAUGAUCGUUGAGUUGAACUAACGAGGUCGGAUCGCAGAGACAGCUAGGAUGUUGGCUUGGAAGCAGCCAUUCAUUUAAAGAGUGCGUAACAGCUCACUAGUCGAGCGAUCUGGCGUGGAUAAUAAUCGGGCAUAAACGAUCUGCCGAAGCCGUGGAUGUCGUAAGACAUGGUAGGGGAGCAUUCCAUGCGGCGUCGAAGAUGAGGGAUGACCCUUGUUGGAGCGCAUGGAAAAGCAAAUGUAGGUAUGAGUAACGAUAAGGGGGGCGAGAAACCCCCCCGCCGAAAGACCAAGGUUUCCUGAUCAACGCUAAUCGGAUCAGGGUGAGUCGGGACCUAAGGCAAAGCCGAACGGCGCCGCCGAUGGAAGAAUGGGUUAAUAUUCCCAUACUGCCUCAUGGAGUGACGUGGAGACGGAGAAGUGACAGUCCUGCCGGCUGACGGAAUAGCCGGUUGAAGGGUGUAGGAGUCGAUCAUGGUAGGCAAAUCCGCCGUGAGAUCCGAACCUGACAGUAUACUGAGCGCUUGCGCGACGUAAUAUGGACGUAACCAUGCUCCCAAGAAAAUCCGCUAAACUUAUCCAUGCGGCACCCGUACCGUAAACGGACACACGUGGUCGGGUUGAGAAUACUGAGGCGCUCGAGUGACUCACGGUUAAGGAACUAGGCAAAUUGACCCUGUAACUUCGGGAUAAAGGGUCCUCGUCGUAAGGCGAGGCGCAGAGAAUAGGUCCAGGCAACUGUUUAACAAAAACACAUGGCUGUGCUAAAUGGAAACAUGACGUAUACAGCCUGACACCUGCCCGGUGCUGGAAGGUUAAGAGGAGAUGUCAUCGCAAGAGAAGCGUUGAAUUGAAGCCCCAGUAAACGGCGGCCGUAACUAUAACGGUCCUAAGGUAGCGAAAUUCCUUGUCG